AGACGGCUGGCCGCCUGGUCCUCCCAGGGUCGGCUCUGCGGUCCCAAGCGCUCCCGGGCUGCGCUGAGGCGCGCGGAGGAGGAGGAGCUGGUGAGGGUCACCGAUCGCCUCCGGACGCUCAGUAAAUAUUUGUUGAAUGAAUGAGCGGUGAGCUACUGCCUUCGCCUCCGGGAGCGUCUGCAGAAGCCGGGAGAGCCGGAAGCCCGGCUUCAAGGCCCGCAGGGAACUAGUGCAAGGGACUCGGGCGCUUCGGAAGUAUCCGAUCUAGGGGACCUUCCGUUAGGAAACUGUUGACAGAACUCUAAUCUGGGAAUCCCAAACUCAGGGAUUUAUUUCUUGCCAGUUGCAAUUUCACACUGAGGGAAGGUGUCCGCUCCAAGAGGUCCCUUUCCAAGUGGCCCCCUUCCCAGAAGGCACCCCUGUGGAGAUGAUCCGGGAACAUCCAUCCCGGUCUUUCUCCAGACUUGGACUAAGGACUCCAAAAGGCGGCUGUGGAAAAGCACAGGGGUGAGCGUGGCGCCCUCUGCGGGAAGAUGCGCUUCCCCCAGAAGAGAUCUCCAGAAUGAGAUAGACUCUACUUUUUUAUUACUAUAAAACUUCAGACUAAAGGGCCAGUUAGCUUCGCCAUCUGAAAACAUACUUCUUGCGAGAAAUUGUGUUGUUGUUGGAGUCUAUGGAGGCUUUCUUUCCAGUUUGGAACCUGACAAGAAUAGAACAUGAAAAAUUAAAACACGCAGUAAAAAACAGACAUGCUUGAUUAGAGAUACGUGAGCCAGCGCUUGUGACUUUUUGCAAACUAUGCCUGAAUAAUUUGCUGGAUUUUGUUGUUGUUGUUGUUGUUUGUUUGUUUUUAAUCCUGAUUUUCCUCUUUAGAAAGUAAGUCCCGAACUUGGAGUCCUGGAUGAGAGAAACAAAACAGCUGCUGGAGGAAGUAAGACUGGAAGAGAUGAAUGCAUGCCGCAGGAGGUUAGGCUUGCUGAGAAACCCUAGCAAGGAGCACGGGGAGAGUGGGUGCCAUGGAUUUACAAAGAGGCUUCUGGAAAGACCUCUGAGAUAAGAACCCACUGACGGCAGAACUUCAGGAAGUGAGGAUGGCCCACAAUAAAGGGGAAGUGUUCUGGACGGACGGCCCAGCGAAUGCAAAGGCCACUGAGCAGGUCUAACAGGCUCCAAACUGGCAAAGAAUUGGAGUAAAAGAGACAGAACUGGAGUGGAAAGGAGGACCAUGACCAGGAUGAGGACUUGCAAGACGUUCUGGAGGUUUUGAGCUUGGGUUGGUGGGGUACAGACACUGGACGAAGGAGGCGGGCUUCCCAGCCAGGAUGGUGGGUGACUGGGAAAGGGCUUGAGUUCUGGACACAAACUGAAGGGAGUGACAACAGGAGAGUGGGAGCCUAGAGGGACUCUACAGGAGGCUUGUCCGCCUCUCUGCCUUACUGUCAUGUAUUUCUGGAAAAGAUCUGACAAAAAGA